rnacentral:rRNA from 1 species
GGAAUAUUGCGCAAUGGAGGAAACUCUGACGCAGUGACGCCGCGUAUAGGAAGAAGGUUUUCGGAUUGUAAACUAUUGUCGAUGGGGAAGAGAAAGGACUGUACCCAUCAAGAAAGCUCCGGCUAACUACGUGCCAGCAGCCGCGGUAAUACGUAGGGAGCAAGCGUUAUCCGGAAUUAUUGGGUGUAAAGGGUGCGUAGACGGGAAAACAAGUUAGUUGUGAAAUCCCUCGGCUCAACUGAGGAACUGCAACUAAAACUAUUUUUCUUGAGUGCAGGAGAGGAAAGUGGAAUUCCUAGUGUAGCGGUGAAAUGCGUAGAUAUUAGGAGGAACACCAGUGGCGAAGGCGACUUUCUGGACUGUAACUGACGUUGAGGCACGAAAGUGUGGGGAGCAAACA